rnacentral:tRNA from 1 species
GGGCGAAUAUUGCGGCAACAUGGGGGCCGGGCGGGGACUCGGACAUUUGAGAGUGAAAUUAUCCAAAAAGAUCAAACACAUGGACAACGCCGCCCCAACCUUCACACGGGAGGGGUCGCAGGUUCGAUCCCUGCAUCGCCCACCA